UGGUGGAGUGAUUUGUCUGCUUAAUUGCGAUAACGAACGAGAUCUCUGCCAAUAAAUAGAUGCCUCUUCCGUUUGUACACAAUGGCCCCUGAGGCUUGCUUCGGGGUACUCCAGAGUGGAGGAGGAGGUUAUUUA
rnacentral:rRNA from 1 species